GGUCGCAGGUCCAUUCUGAAUGGACGCAAGCGACUUGCAAACAUGUCAAGUUUGUAAAAAACACACUUCAUUUUUAAGUACAGUAAGUUUCUGGCACAAAGCUUUUAUUUUGAAGUGCCGUUUCCUGCUGUAGAGUGAGUGACUAGCAGACAGCUGCUUGACAGAGACAGCAGACUAGUCUGAACACAUGGCCAAACGCAAGUAUGACAUUGAAUGUGUAACACUGUGUGGACCUUGAACUAACGACUAAGGAGAAACCUGGACCCCGUGGCCGGACCAGUUGGGAGCCACUGCAGAGCUGUAAGUGACUUCGGUGAGCAGACAACUGGAUGUACACAUGCAGUCCAGGGAGAAUUUGUGUCUGAGGCGAGGGAGCACACAUCCAUUGGACUCCUGGCUGAUCAUCAUGAAGCGGGGUCCCUCCCCAGUAAUCCUUGAUGACCUUUGAACCCAUAUGAAGCAGCCUCUCCAAGAUACAAUAGUGCCCUCUGCUGGCGGCAAAGUGCAGAGCAGUCGCUCCUUCUCUG